rnacentral:lncRNA from 1 species
GCCGCAGCCCCUGUCACCCUGUGACCUGCACUGGCCGUGGGGGUCGUAGGAAAGACUCAGGGGACACAGGAGCCCUAGGAAUGUUCAAAUGGAUUUCCAGAGCUUAUGUUACCGAACGAGUGGGUUCACCUCCGGGCAAGUUAAUUCCGGCUCUCCACCAGAGGUAGUUGUUUCACAAAGUAAGCAGGAGGAGCUGGAAGCUUUUUGUUCAACAACCUGCAAAGCCCAGGAGCCCAUUUCCUGUUCACAGAUCUCAUUUCCAUAUGCCUGGACUUCCAGCACAUGUUGUGGAAGAGGAGCAAGGAAAGUAACAGCUGUUGACAUGUGGUGUCAUAUAGUGUCGGAAGUGGGAUCUGAAGUGAUCUCAUCUCUGACUGGAGUCCUCUGGAACUGCGUGCAGUACCUACACAACCUCUACUCAUGGCUUCCACAGACUGCUGUCUCCUCUGACUAUGAGUCCUGUCAGGCUCCACUUCCCUCAUUUUGGUUGAGGUCAUUGCUUUUCUUUGGGAUUUGGCUUCAACUGCCCAGCAGGAGAUGACUGUCCCAAAGCUGGCUCACAGUUUUUGCCGUUCUGAAGGGUUUCUCUAUUUGGGCUGGCUCAAGGCUAUUGCGAU